rnacentral:lncRNA from 1 species
AGGAGAAAAAUAAAGACAUAACCGAGAAGGUAAAAGUUGGAAUGGGUGCAAGCAGCCAAGGUAGGAAAUGGUUUCAAUAAGAAUUGUUUUGAGGGGCUGGCCCGGUGGUGCAGCGGUUAAGUGCGCACGUUCCACUUCAGCGGCCCAGGGUUCACUGGUUCGGAUCCUGGGUGCGGACAUGGCACUGCUUGGCAAGCCAUGCUGUGGCGGAACUGGUGCUCUUGGGAGAAACGCUGAGUUCAGAAUCAAGUCCUGGUAAAUCUAACGCCGUCAAGUUGCAGUGAGCCAAAAACGAGACGCAAGGUGAAGGUGAAUGGAGAACCACGUAGAUAAAGACAAAGUUCAUGCUGCACGGGACCCAAUCGGCCUGAUACCACGCACAUUUUUCCCCCAAAGGGAAGUGGUCAUCAUGGGCCCAGCCUGCCGCAGUGCCCAACUCCAGAAGGAGCACAGACCAGAGAGCGUGGGCUUCAGAAUCAGAUGAGUUGGGGCCUGCGCGAUUUACGUGACCUCCCUCACGCCCGUGUGCCUGCCUACAAACUGGAAAUAAAAACACCCACCUUGUGAGGUUAUAUUUUAAAGUGCCUGUCAAAUAGUAGGGCUGAAUAAAUAUUAUUAUCUGCCUUCUUUCCCUUCCCAAAUUAUCAUUCUGCCAAAAUUUAUUCAUCACCUGGUGUGUGCCAGCCAGAGUCUCCUUUCCGAGCCAAUCAGUGGUAGUGGCAGAGGCUGCCCGCCUUGUUCCUUUCCUGUCUUCUUAACUCAGAAAUACAGAAGGGUUAACAUUUAAUUAAAAGAGGAAGAGAAAAGAAAGAAGAUGAGUUAAAGAGGAGGCAGGGUGGAAACACUGGAUCAGUGGAGAUUGAGGGGUUUUUCUCAAAGUUAUUAACUCUGGUGAAAUUUGUUUCAGAUGUUUCAUUGGCGCUUACGUUAAGCUUCCACUCCAUCUUCAUGUCUCUGGAAGGGCACGCAAGACACAGCCACAGCCGCUGCCUCUGGGGCGGGGAUUGGGCGCUGCGAGUUAGAACUGGGAAGAGCACUUUCUUACCACAUACCUUUAGCCUUGUGUGAAUUUUAACCACGUGCAACUGCUGUGUUUUCAAACAAUAAGAGCUACCAACAGAACAACACCACAGAUUUCUCUCCAGCAAACAGUUUGGGGGCAAU